ACGCACGCUGGCGGCGUGCUUAACACAUGCAAGUCGAACGGGCCUUGUCCCCUUUUUUUUUGGGGGUGGGGUUAGUGGCGAACGGGUGAGUAACACGUGAGUAACCUGCCCCUCACUUCUGGAUAACCGCUUGAAAGGGUGGCUAAUACGGGGUGUUCUGGCCUGCUCGCAUGGGUGGGUUUGGAAAGAUUCGACCGGUUUUGGUUGUUUUGGUGGGGGAUGGGCUCGCGGCCUAUCAGCUUGUUGGUGGGGUGAUGGCCUGCCAAGGCGUUGACGGGUAGCCGGCCUGAGAGGGUGGGCGGUCACACUGGGACUGAGACACGGCCCAGACUCCUACGGGAGGCAGCAGUGGGGAAUAUUGCACAAGGGGCGCAAGCCUGAUGCAGCGACGCCGCGUGAGGGAGGGAGGCCUUCGGGUUGUGAACCUCUUUCGCCAGUGAAGAAGGUCCUGCUCUUUGUGGUGGGGUUGACGGUAGCUGGGUUAAUGAAGCGCCGGCUAACUACGUG
rnacentral:rRNA from 1 species